rnacentral:rRNA from 1 species
AUUGAACGCUGGCGGCAGGCCUAACACAUGCAAGUCGAACGGUAACAGGAAGCAUCUUGCUGCUUUGCUGACGAGUGGCGGACGGGUGAGUAAUGUCUGGGAAACUGCCCGAUGGAGGGGGAUAACUACUGGAAACGGUAGCUAAUACCGCAUAACGUCGCAAGACCAAAGAGGGGGACCUUAGGGCCUCUUGCCAUCGGAUGUGCCCAGAUGGGAUUUGCUAGUAGGUGGGGUAACGGCUCACCUUGGCGACGAUCCCUAGCUGGCCUGAGAGGAUGACCAGCCACACCGGCACUGUAACACGGUCCAGACUCCUACGGGAGGCAGCAGUGGCGAAUAAUGCACAAUAGGCACAAGGCUGAUGGAGCCGUGCCGCGUCUAUGAAGAAGGCGUUCGGGUUGUAAAGUACGUUCAGCGGGGAGGAAAGAAGUAACGUUAAUACCUUGGCACAUUGACGUUACCCGCAGAAGAAGCACCGGCUAACUCCGUG